rnacentral:rRNA from 1 species
CCUACGGGAGGCAGCAGUGAGGAAUAUUGGUCAAUGGACGAGAGUCUGAACCAGCCAAGUAGCGUGAAGGAUGACUGCCCUAUGGGUUGUAAACUUCGUUUAUAUGGGAAUAAAACGUUCCACGUGUGGGAUUUUGUAUGUACCAUAUGAAUAAAGAUCGGCUAACUCCGUUCCAGCAGCCGCGGUAAUACGGAGGUUCCGAGCGUUAUCCGGAUUUGUUGGGUUUAAAGGGAGCGUAGGUGGAUUGUUAAGUCAGUUGUGAAAGUUUGCGGCUCAACCGUAAAAUUGCAGUUGAAACUGGCAGUCUUGAGUACAGUAGAGGUGGGCGGAAUUCGUGGUGUAGCGGUGAAAUGCUUAGAUAUCACGAAGAACUCCGAUUGCGAAGGCAGUUCACUGGACUGCAACUGACACUGAGGCUCGAAAGUGUGGGUAUCAAACAGGAUUAGAUACCUGAGUAGUC